UAGCAACUAAGACUCGACUCCUAAUCCCUCAAGCUAAGGUUAGACCAAACACUUACCUCGAUGUCACGAAUACAAUUCAUGGCUCAACUAUCGCUUUACCUCUUGAUUCCACCACCAAUUCGCUCGUAUCUAGCCACAAGUUACUUAACUAUAUCAAUAAAUGCUAAAUGAAUCAAUUCCAAUGCACGAAAAUAGGUUUUUUAAAGUUUUUCCCAAAAAGUCAAAAAUCGCCCUCGGGCCCACAUGGUCAAAUCCCGAGGUUCGAACCAAAACCCGAUUACCCAUUCCCCCAAGAACCCAAAUAUACAAUUUGUUUUGAAAUCGGAUCUCAAAUCGGGGUCUCAAUCCCCAAAAUUUGAAAAACCUAGGUUCUACCCAAAACACCCAAUUUUCCCCAUUAAAACCCUUGAUUUUGAGUUGAAAUUAUGAUAAAAGAUGUUAAAAAUUAAUAAAAACAAGAUAAAUUUGACUUACAAUCGAUUUGGAAGAGUACUUGUCUUUGAAAAAUUGCCCAAGGGCGUCUUGGUUUCGAAAGGGUUUGAAAAAUGGUUGAAAUGCGUCUAAGUUAUGAUUUUGCAGGUUGCAGGUGUCGGCAGAAAACUGACCCCUUCGCAUUUACGACCCAUUUUGAUUUCCGGUCACCUUCGCAUUUGCGACUAAUUUCACUCCGUGGCCUAUCCAAAACUCACCCGAGCCCUCGGGGCUCCAAACCAAACAUGCACACUAACCCAAAAAUAUCAUACGGACUUGCUCGUACAAUCAAAUCAUGAAAAUAACAUGUAAAACUAUGAAUCAAACCUCAAAGCUCAUCAUUUUCAUCAAGAACACUUAAAGUUCAUAACUCUUCAACCGAAGGUCCAAAUCACGUCAAAUAAACUCCAUUUUCCACCAAAUUUCACAGUUAUCAUUUAAAUACUUUAACAAGCUUGUACCGAGCUCCGGAACCAAAAUACAGGCCCGCUACCAAUGGUUUCAAACAUUAAUUCUUUUCUUUAUUUCAUAAUUAAUUUAGCAAAAUAAUUUCUUUCAAAAUUGAUUUCUAAGGCUUGGGACCUCGGAAUUCAUUUCCGGACAUAUGUCCAAGUCUCAUAUUUUACUGCAGACCUCCGCAAUCGUCGGAACGCAGAUCCGGGUCUGUUUGCUCAAAAUGUUGACCAAAGUCAACCAUAUUCAAAUUUUAACUCUAGAAAUUUCUAUCUCUCAUAUUUUCACAUAAAAGCUUUCCGAAUAUACGUCCGGACCACGCACGCAAAUCGAGGUGAGGUAAAAAGGAGGUUUUAAGGCAUCAGAAUACAGAAUUUAUUUCUAACACAAGUGAUGACCUUUUGGGUCAUCACACACAUACACUUCAAAUAUAUCCCCAUCUUUUAAUAGAGGCACAAUACCCAUAAUAUCCCUAUCAGUUAAAUUUUUUUACCAAAGUACUAGAAUUAGGUGGUCUCAGAUAAAUAUCACAUGUUUCACAAUUAUACCCAUUUCUUUCACAGAGUCUACAAACUCAAAAUACAAAAAUCUGUCAACAUCAAUAUCAAAGUACUCUGUCAUAAUACCUCCUUCGUAGUUAAUAGGAUAUUGUUGUAACUGACCUCCAUGGAAUAUCCUCAGUGUAACGAGCUCAAAAGCCAUUUCUUCGAACUGAAAUCAGUAAACAAGAAAAAUAUCCAUAAAUAUUUUUUUUUCAUUUCAAAAUCAACAAGACUACUUGAAGAAAGCAAGAAGAACCUACAAGAGAAGCCAACGAUCUUCAGUAUCUACACGCUAAUUGACGAGAUUUGGGGUGAAAUCGACACUAGGUUUUGACUUCAUCAGUGCUUUUCUCGUUUUGUUUAGAGAGAAAUGAGGUCGG
rnacentral:lncRNA from 1 species